rnacentral:rRNA from 1 species
AAGUCUAAAACGACUCUCGGCAACGGAUAUCUCGGCUCUCGCAUCGAUGAAGAACGUAGCGAAAUGCGAUACUUGGUGUGAAUUGCAGAAUCCCGUGAACCAUCGAGUCUUUGAACGCAAGUUGCGCCCCAAGCCUUAUGGCCGAGGGCACGUCUGCCUGGGUGUCACAA